rnacentral:lncRNA from 1 species
GGGCCGAAUCACCAGAGAAACCACCAGCCUGACUUGUUAGAUUUUAUUUGUCCUGUUGUUUUGCGGAGAUGAAGCAAGCGGUUGCCCAGCCAGACCCAGCAAACACAAUUGGACCUGGCAGAGAGAGGACACAGAUGCUCUGCGUGAUGGGGAAAUCCCACCAGGGCCAGACGCUGCUAUAACUCAGCCCCUCCAGGGAGCAACCAUGAUCUCUGCAAACUGAUGAUGGAAGAAAGGGGAGCCAGAAGAUACUGUGCUCUGGAUUCCCAGGACAAUGGAUGGAGGACAGCCUGUCCCUUCACCCCUGGUACCCCUUGGGAACGGAUCAGAUUAUAGUAUGUCUCUGGAACAGAAAACAACAUUUGUUUUUGUGAUUCUGUUGUUUAUCUUUUUGGGCAUCCUCAUUGUCAGGUGCUUCCGGAUUCUUCUAGACCCAUAUCGGAGCAUGCCAACCUCAACCUGGGCUGACGGGCUUGAAGGUCUAGAGAAAGGGCAGUUUGACCAUGCCCUUGCUUAGUGGGGGCAUAGCAGGCUGCCCUCCCAAGGAGGCAAAGGGCUUAAUGUCUGAGCAAAGCUUCCUCUUUGUUGAAUGUUCUUAACAAAUGUAAUUUUUACCAUAACUGGCCCAAGGACAACGACCCAUUAUUUCGUAAACAUGCUAUUGUGUUAAAAGUGUCUUGAGGACAAUGGAAAGUUUAUAUCUCUAGACCCCAAGGAGGAAGGUGCAAACAUUUGUCUUUACUCAAUGAAUGAAUAUUGUUGAAGAUAUUGUAAAACCAAGCACACCAACCCUUGUGUAGAUUUCACUGUCAAAUGAAGCUCUGUCUGCUCAGAACAGAUAAUAAACCCGUGUAGAGACAAUGUUAAGGGGCUACAUAUUUCUUGCAAAGCAGGGAACACUAAGAAGCAGUGGUAGGGUUAGAAAAAUAGUUAUUUACUUAGUAACUCUGGAUGAGAAUGCUAUCAUUUUUAAUUUUUAAAUAAUGUUAAACUCAAAGUUCACAGAGUUUUGAAACUACCAGUCCUAAUCCAAUCUCUGUAUGCCUAUAGCUAACACAUUUAAAUGCAUUGAUGUAUAAUUUGAAUCUAUUGUACUUCCGUUCCUGUUGGAACUAAUGGGUUACAAGCACAACUUCAAGGUUAUAUUUUGAAAGAAAGAUGAUUGCUUAGCAAGAAGACUAUGGCUGGAAGAGGAUUAUGCAUUUUUAUGUGCAUAUAGUUACCAAAUAAAAAAUUUCAAGAUGC